ensembl:snRNA U6 U6 spliceosomal RNA
GCAAGACUCUUUAGUGCGUGUACUAAAAUUGGAAUGAUACAGUGGAUAUUAGCAUGGCUCUGCCCAAGUUUGACAUGAAAAUUUGUGAAGCAUCCUAUAUUAAA